rnacentral:rRNA from 1 species
GCAACGGAUAUCUAGGCUCUCGCAUCGAUGAAGAACGUAGCGAAAUGCGAUACUUGGUGUGAAUUGCAGAAUCCCGYGAACCAUCGAGUUUUUGAA